ensembl:lncRNA
CUGUCCCAGCCUGGAGGAAAACCCACCCUGAGUGUGUUUUUUGGGUAUCCCAGCUAGUGCCGGGGGUGACUGUCUGGGAAGGUAGUGGUGGUCCCUUCUCCUGCCUGUGGAGGAACAUGGACCCUCACCAGCAGGUGAGGGGGAUUGAAGGUCAGCAGUGGCCAAAGGGAGCUUUGGCAGGAGGCAAGUGGCAUCCCCAGGCCCCCGAGGAUGCUGCAGGGGGACAUAUGGGAUGUGUGAGCACCCCAAAAAUCAAGAUGCUGGUGGCUUUUGCAGGGCUGGUGGCUGCUCUGGGGAGAUUGGUGGAAGACAGUCAGGAAACUGCACGGAGGAAUCAGAUGUUGCAGGUACAGAAAUGUGUGUGUAUGGAUGUAAACCGAGGUGGUUGGGGACCUUUUUGUGGGUAAAGACAGUGGUAAUCCAAAGCGAGUGGGUGUGGGAGCCGAUUUGGGAAUGUUCAGUAGCAGCAGUCCCUGGGUCUGCACUAAUUGCAGGGGAACGGAGAAGACGAAGCCCCCUGUCGACGUGUGGGUGUCUGUAUAAAGUGCCAAGGGUGGAGGGUGUUGAGUUGUUUGGUAGUGAGUGUACUCAGGAGGUUUGUCUUGUGCUGUUGCUGAUGCAGUCCCUGCAUCUCCUCGUUAUCUGCUGUCUCCCCACAGGCCCAAUUAGAGAGGGACCGGGAAUCGCAGGCUGCUCUGCUGUGGGAGCGCAUGAAGGAGCUGGAAGCAAAACACAAGCAAGACCUACAGAUAAAAAUCCAGCAAAUCAUAAUGGAAAAGGACAAGGAGAGCCAAGAGAUUCUGGAGAACACUGUGGCCCAGGAGAAGCACAAGUGCAAGCAAUCUGUGGAGGAGGAACAGAAGAAGAUUCGAGACCUGGAGACCCACCUGAGGAGCUUGACUGAGGUAAUGGAAAGGAAGUCAAAGGAGCAGGAGGUUUCAGAGUGCAAACUGAGGGAAGCCGUGCACAACCUGGAGGAAGCUGCAACACGAGAGGUAGCUCCAACAACCCUUCUGUGCAUCCUGGGGAAGUGGCAUAGACAUGGUUUGGGUGAAGAAGGCUUCCCUGGUGCCUAACGAUGAGGGGGCAGAGAACAGCAGCCUCCCCCCUCCCUGAAAUCCUUCCCUUCCCUCGGUCCACCUGACUGCCAGCCAGGAGAGAUGAUGCUGAUCACAAUCCUAAAGGAAAACAUGUGUGAUUCUUCCAACCGAGAUAAUGCGUCUUGUUUCCUAGGUGAUGUUACAGCAGCGGGUUCUCACGCAAGAGGAGCAGCUCAAGUCCACUCUGGAGGAGAAUGAGUUACAGAGGCAGAAGCUGCAGGAAGAAACAGAGAAAUAUAAGGAGCAAAGCAAGCAACAUGCUCUGACAAUUGUGGCUUUAGAGGAGAGGUUGCUGGAGGCCAAACAGCAGCAGAAGACACUGGAGGAGGACAAGGCAGCACUUGUGGGAAAAAUGGAAGGUAGCAAAGGGUUGUAUGACAUGAGUCUGUACUGGGAACCCUCUUGGUUAAUAUAAAAUUUAUGUAGAGAUGGAGUAGUGUGCUUGCUGCUGUGGAAAGCGUUGUGCUAGAUGUUGGUUUGAGGUUUGCCUGAAUGCAGGACAAGCCCGAGAGUCCCCAAAGGAGCCAUUUUGCAUGGAGUUGCAGGAUAUUGCUCGGUGGCUUUGGGGACCGUGGUCACAGGCAGGGCUUUCCCACUGGAGAAUUGCUCUUUGCCCUCUAAAACGAUGAGACUGGAGCCCUUUGGGCUGCACCCAGGGAUAAGUGAUCCUGGGCAUGGAAGGAUGUAUGGAACUGUCGGAACAGUGGUGGAGCUAAGAGACACAGGCUUCCAAAAGAGGUGGUCCUCAGUCUUCCAUGCUGUCAUGAAGGAAAGGAUAUACAUAUUGGAGGCAAGAAUGGAAUGU